CCUUCCUCAUUAAACAACUCCAUAUUCAAACAAAAGAUAGGCAAAAAGAAAAGGUUGAGCUGUACACUUUGUACUUCUUGGAAAUACGUUCUGAGAUUUGAUGGAUCACGUUGUAAGGUACAUAAAGAGAUAAAUGGACAAGACUAUCCACCACAUCAUUGUCAAGAAAGAUCGAGUUGUAUUGCAUUUAAGGGUGUGGACUAACAGAUGAUGAAGCAAAUGAAAAUUACAAUUUGAAGGUUUAAAUUUUAAUAAAAUUUUAAAAUGUUUGAUAA